AGGGUCCCUGCAACCCAGAGAUAUGGGGUGAUCUUCCUAAGGUCACCCAGUCUGGGUAGCAACAAGCAAGCCAAACAGGUUUCUGCCCAGCUCUCGGCCUUCCGUGCUCCUCACUGGUGCUCCAUGACCCUUGGUGGCAUCUCCAGGGAGGGGACAGCAGCACCUUCUUCCCAGGUCUCCUGGGAGUGGCUCCCAGGACCUCUAUCUCUGUUUUUUUUUUACAUGCACUUGCGUACACACACACACACACACACACACACACACACUGGGUCUCUCUUCACCUCCCUCCUCCCUUUUUUUUUUUUUUAUUCUUCUUUGGCAUUUUCUUUCAAGCAGAAAAUAAAAACAUUUCCCAUGGCUACAGCUUUGAAAGCUUCCCUCUCCUCUCUGCCUUUCUCUCGCCCCCACCCCCCAUGUGGAUCCAUUUCUAGAGUCAGCAUAAAGUAGAAAACAAACCCUGAAGAUCAAACUUGACAGGUGCCCCCUUCCUGCCUCUCUCCACUUUCUCCGCGUGUCUUGGCCUGUCUCCACCCUGGAGAUGAGUAGGAGGCAGCACCCAACACACACGCGUGCACUCCCACACCUUCUGUGGCCACAGGGAGUCUCUUAAGAAUCUUCUAGAGCCACCCCUGCCAGAAAGGCCUGCUCACUCAGUUCCUUCUGCCGGAAGUUCCUGGUGCUCCCUCACACUCCCCUUUCCAGCCCUGCUCACCUGGCCCGGCUCUAUCCAGCCCUCCUGUUGGGGGCCAUCUGCUGUGGGUUGAUUACCCCCCAAAUUCCUAUGUUCGGGUCCUAGCCCCAGUACCUCAAAGCGUGACCUUGUUUGGAAACAGUGUCCUUGCAGAUAUAAGUGGUUAAGGUGAGGUCAUCCUAGAGGAGGGUGGGCCCCUAAUCCAGUAUUCCCCGGGCCCUUAUAUAAAGGAGUCACAGACAGAUACAGAGGGAAGGCUAAAAAGACAAGAGACGGCUGGCCAUCCGUGAGACGAAGGGAGAGGCCUGAACCAGACGCCCUCACAGUCCCUAAAGGAAGCCACUCUGCCCACACCUUGACCUUGGGCUUCUGGCCUCCAGGACUGAGAGACGGUGAAUUUCAGUUGUUUCAGCCACCCACGUUGUGGUCCUUUGUCGCGGCGGCCCCAGCGCACUUAUACACCAUCCCACGUUUAAGUGCCCACAGGAGUCAGGCAGGAAAGAAAUGAGCAAAAGUCAGAAAGCAUCUAGAGAGGGCAAUCUGUCACAGUCCCGGCCAGUGGUCCCCAAGGGUACCAGAUCUUCCGCGGUUCAGGGCAAGCCGGUGUGUCCGUUAGAACGAGGUAGGUUAUCCCGCAGUGACAAAAAUCCCCACCAUCUCAAAGGCUGAGCCCAACGCAUACAAAUCUAUUCUCCCUGACGGGUUGUUUGCUCUGAGCCUAAGGGAUGCUCCAGGGCAGCUGACCUCCAUGUGGCCCCCAAGCACUUAGAUUCAAUUCACCUCGAUCUGAGACAAUCACAGGGAAGGGAGGGUCACCGCACUGGGGUUUUAUUGCCAGAGCCCAGAAAUGUUACACGCUGCUUCCCACCCACGUGACCACACCCAACUCAAUGGUGCUGGAAGGUGGCUCCCCACCACCGUCCCCCGUGCCCAGGAAGGAGAGGAAAACCAAAGACGGGUGCGUGGUCCUCUAACAAGAUGCGCGCAAGUGACACCACGUGGCUUCCAAGCGAGGUCAGAAGAGGAGACACCAGGCUCGCGUGGAACCCUGAGCCAGCAGAGUGGGCCCUAAUCCAGCGACUGCUACUCGUAUCAGAACUGGGAGCUUUGGACACAGCUGCCCACACCGAGGAAGGAGGCUGUGUGACCACAGAGACAGACAUCAGGGUGGCAGUGCCUGCCAAGGAACGUGGAGACAAGGCACGGGAGGGGUUCUCCCCCGGGGCCUCCAGAGGGAGCAUGUCAUCGAGGACUUCUGGCUUCCGGAAUUAAGAGAAAAUAGAUUUCUGAGCCCCUCACUGUGUGGUGAUGUGUAGGGCACCCCUAGGGAGCUAAUACAGCACCCCAUUCCGGCUGGACCAGCUUCUGCGACCUGUCAGUGUUCUUCCUGGCUUACACAUUCCCCCGCUGUUCCUCUUCAUCCACUGGACCAUCCACCGGGAGGAGCUUGGAGCCUGGCCGGGAAGGUAAGCAGGGACCCAGCCAAUCGAAGAACGUGAGGCCAGUGCAGACGGCCAGCGGACAGUUCUUUCCGGCCACUGACAGCUCCCAAACAGGCCUGCACCUUCUCUGCACGUCCCCAUCAAGAAGGGCACUCUAGGGGCACCUGGGUGGCUCAGUCGGUUAAGCGUCCAACUUGGGCUCAGGUCAUGAUCUCAGGGUUCAUGGGUUCGAGCCCUGCGUCGCGCUCUGUGCUGACAGCUCAGAGCCUGGAGCCGGCUUCAGGUUCUGUGUCUCCCGCGCUCUCUGCUCCCCCCCCCCCCACUCACACUCUUUCUCUCUCUGCCCCUCAAAAAUAGAGAAACGUUUAAAAAACAUUUUCUACGGACUUCAAGUGGUACUACAAAGCUGUAGUCAUCAAGACAGUAUGGUACUGGCACAAAAACAGACACUGAGAUCAAUGGAACAGAAUAGAGAGCCCAGGAAUGGACCCACAAACGUAUGGCCAACUCAUCCUGACAAAGCAGGAAAGAAUAUCCAAUGGAAGAAAGACAGUCUCUUCAGCAAGUGGUGCUGGGAAAACUGGACAGCGACACGCAGAAGAAUGAACCUGGACCACUUUCUUACAGCAGACACAAAAAUAAACUCAA